rfam:Stegodyphus mimosarum contig100541, whole genome shotgun sequence.
GCCUUCGUGGUGUAAUGGUCAGCACACAGAGCCGGUAAUUCAGAGGUCCGCGGUUCGAUCCCCGGCGAAGGCA